rnacentral:rRNA from 1 species
AUGAACGCUGGCGGCGUGUCUUAGGCAUGCAAGUCGAUCGUGAACCCCGCGCAAGCGGGGCCGAACGAGGCAAACGGGUGCGUAAGACAGUGGUAAUUUACCCUGAAGUCUUGAACAACUCCGCGAAAGUGGAGCUAAUACAAGAUAAGCAAGGGGGGACAUAAGUCAUUCCCUUGUAAAGUUUUAAUGCUUCAGGAAAAGCCUUUGGCCUAUCAGGUAGUUGGUGAGGUAAUAGCUCACCAAGCCUAUGACGGGUAGGGGAUGUGAGAGCAUGAUCCCCCUCACUGGGACUGAGAUACUGCCCAGACUCCUACGGGAGGCUGCAGUCGAGAAUCUUCCCCAAUGGACGAAAGUCUGAGGGAGCGACGCCGCGUGAAUGAAGAAGCCCUUCGGGGUGUAAAAUUCUUUUUCCAGGGAAAAACUAGCGAUGGUACCUGGAGAAUAAGAGGUUGCUAACUCUGU